AUAUCAUCAAUCUAGUAUUGGAAGUGGAGGUUGCUGUUGACAAGACAGCUCUUCUGAAAUAAAUGGUAGACGGCUUUGGCGUGAUAAAUGAUCGUCAAGUCGAUGGCUAGACAUAAAUCACUUAGCUACUAGGUAGUCUUUUUCAAAGACUAGCGAACACAAGUGUAGUCUAAUUGGG
rnacentral:misc_RNA from 1 species